AAAAAAAAAAAAAUUAACAAACUCCCACAGUUAACAUACGCAGAAACAAUACAGUUCCUUCGAACCCUUAUUCUUCACCGCAACAAAAAUCCAAUUCUUCUUCUUCACUGAAACAAUCGAUUGAAUCCUUCAUCACUGCAAACACUUCAAAAUCGAACCCUUUGUUAAACUCUUCUCACGAACCCAGAAAUCCCUUAGUCAAACUCGAAUCAUUCACAUAAAACCCAGAAAUCCUACUCUUCACCGCCGAGAAAUCGAACCCCGUCGCUGCAAACUCCAACCCUUCACUGCAAACUUGAACCCCAUCGCAGCUCUCUUAGUCCGUAUAUGUAAUCUGCAAACCCUAACUUCUUUUUUUAGUUGUUUGAUUGCAAUUUCUUGUUGCUAUUGUUUCCUUUUCUGUUUCUGGUGCUGUGUUGCAAAGAGAUUAUUGCAAUUUCCAUAUUAUUAUUAUUAUUAUUAUUAUUAUUAUUAUUAUUAUUAUUAUUAUUUUCUCUUCUAGUUGUUGUGUAGUGAUGAGAGAUGUUGAGUUGAGUAUAAUUUUAAUUUGUUGGAAUAUUACAUAUUCUCUUUUUUCCACAUUUUAACAGUUUUUAAUUUGGUGGAUUAGUAUCUAUUUUAAAUUAUUCUUAUAAUAUAAUUUUGGGGAAGCAACUUUAUACAUAGAGGCUAUGAAUCUUAUGAUGAUUACUAUGGUUUUGGUUCUGUGUUUUUUACUCUAUUAUCAUUACAGGUUCACAGGAAAUUGGACCUUAUCUUGUGGUUGGUUUACAUAUCUGAUAAUGCUAUAUUAGGCUUUCAUUAUCAUUUAUUAAUACUCUGCAACUCAUAAUAAUAAGUGUAUUACUGUUGUAAUGCAGCCACAACAAUUAUCACAAUAGAUGAUAAGUAUUGCUUUGUCCUGGUUUGUUGUUGUUAGUUUUGGGAGAUUGUUUCGUUUUAGUUUGUUUGAAAAGAUCGAAGCAUGCCGUUUGUGUUUUCCUUGCUAUAGGGUGUUAUUCAAGAACUGGUUGUUUAGUUCCAGUUCUUCCUUUAUAUACCAGUUCAAAUCAGUUUGGUUUUGCGAGAGGUCAAGGUGAUGGGCUCUCAAAAUAUGUCAAGUUUGAAAGAAAUUGCAGCCCUUGUAUACAAGUUCAAAUCAGUUUCAAUAGCUGUUAAUAUGACACAAUCUAUGGAAGUUGUCUGUGAGGUAAUUUUCGCCCUUGCUCUCCUAAGUAUUGUUGUCUCUUUUUAUGUAAACCUCUGUAAAUACUAUAUUUAACUUAGUUCACUAUUACUGAACUUUUUCGUAACACUUGGUUCAGUUUUAUACUUUUGUGAUAUUCUAUGAUUGACAUGGCUUGAAUCAAUUCAUUUUGACUUGUUAUUGGAGGGCGUGCUGUGUUAGAUGGUGUGAUUCUUUAGCAGCUCCCCCCAUUAUUUUUGUUUGUAGGUCUGCCAAUGCCACCAUGAUAUCUCUCACUUAUAUUUAGAUUAUAAUAUGUUUCUUCUGACAGCCAAAGCAACUUGGAUAAGUUCAAGUCUGAGGAUUGUAAUAUUCUCCCUUGUACUGACAUAGCUAGAAGGAGACUGGAUAUGAAGUGUUCACUUUGUGUUUAACUUAUUAUUCAAUUGUUUACUAAUCUAUAAUCCUCUUACUGAUAAUGUGUAUAGAAGGCGGCAAUGACAGAUGUCAACUGUUGUGACAUAUGCAUUGCUGCCAUUAUCUUAGUUCCAAUAUCAAUUAUUAGAAGUUAUUUAGUUUGUUUAUCAUGUCACAUGACAGGUAUUUCCUGUUACUCAAAAGAAAUUUUGUGGAUUCAAUCCUUUUACAACGUUUGUGUGCUAUAAAAUUAUUUUAUAAUACGAGGUUCUACACAAACUUAUAAGCUAUGAGGUUUGGCACAUCUCUCGCUCUCAAACAUAGGAAAUUCACACAAAGGUUCAAGUUAUUGACAUCUAUCUAGUCUCUUUUUAAUCCACACAUAGGCCGUACAAAAUGCUGCUUAUAAGCUGAUUGGCAUGUUGUCUAUAUAGUGUGCAAUAUGUCACAAUCUACGGAAGUUGUUCAUGAGUGUUGGAAAAGUGAACUUCACAUGUCUAUAUAACUGGUUUAUAUAGAAUUAGAAGAGUCUGCAACUCUGCAUCAAUAUACUUUGUUGGAACUGAAGUUUUACAUUGAGAAAAGUAUUAUUGACUAGACAUUCACAUAUUCAUUAUUGUGUUGGUUCUCAGUGUGUGUUAGAAUUGUAAUUAGUUUGUAGUUAGUUUAGUUACUUAUUUCUUCAUGAGUGAUAUUAUACCCCUUAAAUUAGUUUGUAAAUUUGUUCUUAUGUAAUUUAAAUUGGGCAAAAUAAAUUACUCUCAUUUGGAUAUUUG